rnacentral:rRNA from 1 species
AUUGAACGCUGGCGGCAGGCCUAACACAUGCGAGUCGAGCGGAUGAAGGGAGCUUGCUCCUGGAUUCAGCGGCGGACGGGUGAGUAAUGCCUAGGAAUCUGCCUGGUAGUGGGGGAUAACGUCCGGAAACGGGCGCUAAUACCGCAUACGUCCUGAGGGAGAAAGUGGGGGAUCUUCGGACCUCACGCUAUCAGAUGAGCCUAGGUCGGAUUAGCUAGUUGGUGGGGUAAAGGCCUACCAAGGCGACGAUCCGUAACUGGUCUGAGAGGAUGAUCAGUCACACUGGAACUGAGACACGGUCCAGACUCCUACGGGAGGCAGCAGUGGGGAAUAUUGGACAAUGGGCGAAAGCCUGAUCCAGCUAUGCCGCGUGUGUGAAGAAGGUCUUCGGAUUGUAAAGCACUUUAAGUUGGGAGGAAGGGCAGUAAGUUAAUACCUUGCUGUUUUGACGUUACCAACAGAAUAAGCACCGGCUAACUUCGUG